UACGUAGGGGGCUAGCGUUGUCCGGAAUCAUUGGGCGUAAAGCGCGUGUAGGCGGUCCGGUAAGUCCGCUGUGAAAGUCGAGGGCUCAACCCUCGAAUGCCGGUGGAUACUGUCGGGCUUGAGUACGGGAGAGGCGAGUGGAAUUCCUGGUGUAGCGGUGAAAUGCGCAGAUAUCAGGAGGAACACCGGUGGCGAAGGCGGAUCUCUGGGCCUUACCUGACGCUGAGGCGCGAAAGCUAGGGGAGCAAACAGG
rnacentral:rRNA from 1 species